UUCCGCCUACCUGCCUGGUGUGAGCGUGCGUUCGUUCGUGCUCGCGACCCCGGUAGCGGCGCGUACUUCAGAGCGCGUGUUCGCGUAACAGAGCGGAGGAGCAAAGAUAGCGUACUCGCGCCGUGAUAUUCCCACGAAGCUUACCUGUCUGUACGUGCGCGUCCACGUCCCGAAUCCAGACGCCUCGGCGAGCUAGCUUAGCUUUGCCUAGCUUAGCGCAGGAGGCUAGCUAGCUCGUGUGGCGUCGCAGGAGGCUAGUGGACUAGCCGUCAAGUUUGUUCGCCAAAUCCCUCUUUUCGACGCUCAUUGUGUCCACGAGGAACAACGAGGCGGCGCCGUCCCAGUGUUUUAAAUCAGGGCAGCUUAACACUUCCGGUCGGCGUCACGUUUAAUUACGCUAACUCGGCGAAUCAAUUACAGCUAGCUUCUCGAGGACACUGAGCUCGCUUGGUAAAAAACAGAGCGUUGCACAAUGACAAGCUGGAAAGGUCCGUGACGUCACCGCCCUUCCGAGAGCCUCACAGCCCGCUCCUCCUCCUCUUGGGGAGAAUGACGUCACCGGGAAAUGUUUAGCCUCUCGCCGUGCGUUUCUCCCUCCGCCAUCUUGGAAAGCAAUGCAACGGCAUCCCCUGAGUGCUUGAACGUCCAUGGAAGAGGUCAACAUUGAUUUUCUGAGAAGCCGUCUAGGUCAAAGGUGGUGUUGAGGAGGCGUUGCAGCUCCGUCAGAACGCUGCAGCCAGAGUCCUUACAAACCAGGGGCAUUACCGGGGGGGCACCCACAGACACGCUCUGCCCGCCCAAAGAAAACUGGAUGUAGUACUAACGGCGGUCUGGGCACCGCGUAUGGUAUCCCAUUCAUAUAGUACUGAUGUGUUACCUUUGCAUUGUUACCUCCUCUUUCACCAUAAAAAAAAAAAAAAAAAAAAAAAAAUGAAAUGUUGGUUUCGUUCAUAGGGGGCGCUACACACAUUUACGCAUAUUUUUAUUUUUUAAAUUUUUUUUUUUUUUACAUUUUAAUCAAAGUUUUCACCAGUGUUCACCUGGCUGUUGAGUUUGGUGAGUUUUGAAGCAUUCUGAGGGGAUCAAAGUAGGGUUCAAAGCGUCGGCGGGACAAAGAAUGACUGCUAGGGGUUGCUUGGCGCUACAUAGUGUAUUUGGAAUUUGUCUUUACACGUAUCAAAGAUUGCAUCUGUCUUGACCUGCCUGCCGAUUUUGGUGCAUUUUGAAGCAUUCUAAAGGGGUCAAAUUGAGCUCAAAGGGGCUGCGGAACAAAUAAUAACUAUAAUGAUAAUAAUAAAACCGAGGAACCACAAUAGGUUACCUAAAAAAACAUUGUCACCUGCAUGUCCAUUAGUGUUGUAUCGGUCGCGAACGAUUCGUUCUUUUUGAACGAAUUGUUUGGGUGAACGAGACCGAACUAAUCACCAUCUGCACUGAUUCGUUCUAUGAAGUUGGUGCUUGUUCACUGCGUGGGAGGGCGUUGAGCAAGCGGCAGCGUCUUCUGACAUCGCACACGACCAAUCAGACGCCAGCCUCAUCGCGGGCAGGGGAGGGACCGGAAACAGAAUCAGGGCGUAUGUCACUCACUUCCACGUGUGGCCAAUAAGCAGCUAGCGUGCAGGCAAGGGGGCAAGACUGAGUUUUGUCACUUCCCGUUCAGUGACUCGGUCCUCCGGUUCCUGACCUAGCUUGCUGCUAACGUGACUUUCCAGUAAUGACUGCGGUGAACGAAUCAAAAAAUGAAAGGAAAGGACUUUGUCACAUAUUUGUUAACGUGGAGCCUAUCAAAUGCAGCUCAAAAAGACCAAAACACCACACAAAUCUAGCGAGCAUGGUUUAGUGUACUACUUUUCUCAACAGACUCGGGACUACCUAUUACGACAUACUAUCAAAUUUACAGUAAUUUAAAACACGGGUAGCUACGAGGCAAGCAAAAGCUGAGCUGCGGUCGCGUGACGGCAAUGAAGGGGGCAAAGAACUGUCACUAUAUGGAGGCUUCAUGGCAGCGAUAUUUACCUCAUAUAUGCACAGAAAAAAAGAAUAUUUAGUAUGAUCACCAUAAUACUGAUUUGCAAUGAAACGGUAUAUACAUGUCCAUUUUUUCCAAGUGUUUUAUUAUUUUUUUUCCGUGUCAGGUGUUGGUUGGUUUGACAAAUUAUGUCAAUCCGUCCAUCAUGUGCUACUCAAGCGCCCCACAACAACGCACAUGGACACGGGAGAUGUCGCAAUAUGUUUACAUUUUUCUUAACAGACUAAUGAGAGUAGAAAGGCGAUAUCGUAAAGAGCAAACAAUUAUUUCUCGUCAGCAUUUGACGAUCUGAGAUGCGGGGACGACAGGGGAGCUGACCGGAUUAUUUUAUUUAUUAAUACCAGUGCAAAAAUUCAGUACGAUCACCAUAAUACUGAUUUGCAAUGAAACUGUAUAUACAUGUCAAUUUUUUCCGAGUGUUUUAUUUUUUUUUCUGUGUCAGGUGUUGGUUGGUUUGACAAAUUAUGUCAAUCCGUCCAUCAUGCGCUACUCAAGCGCCCCAAAACAAGGCACGCGGACACGGGAGAUGUCGCAAUAUGUCUACAUUUUUCUUAACAGACUAAUGAGGGUAGAAAGGUGACAUCGUAAAGAGCAAACAAUCAUUUCUCGUCAACAUUUGACGAUCUGAGAUGCGGGGACGACAGGGGAGCUGACCGGAUUAUUUUAUUUAUUAAUGCCAGUGCAAAAAUCCAAUACGAUCAUCUUGAUACUGAUUUGCAAUUAAACUGUCAAAUAUCAAAAUGCAGUAUUGUCUUUAUUUCAGAGCAGCACAUUCGACAACUAGCUAUUUACACUUAUAGUUUUAACAAUAGUGACUAAAAAUAAUAGUGAUGAGCAUAAAAACAAAAAUACAACAGAGCGAGAGGUAAAUAUGAUGUGUUGGUCGUUCCAUAUUUAGAAAUUAAACUUUCGAUUUAUUUUUAUUUUCGUGACAGCAAGCAUGCUGCGUUGGCUGGUAGCAGGCUAGCAGCAGCAUUGUAUAUGUGAUCAAGAACAUGCUAAAGAAAGUCCGUGCGCCCCCGACCCCAAACCCCCACUCCUCCCACAAAAGGAAAAUGUUUAACCGUGUCCUAAAUCGAAAUGCAAGCACGAGCCAUGACUUUGAACCCAUAGAACUAGGACAGACAACGCGGAAGUUCUCCCUCGCUUUUGCAGCAGCGGGAGGGAGGGAGACGAGGCUGUCUGUGAAAGCAGAAUGAUAUUGCCUGUCACUCAUUACUGAAACUACGACGAGCGGUCAAUGAGGAGCCUGUCUGCAAGAGAGAGGGAGGGACCAAGAAUGUCACUUCCCGUUCAGUUAUACUGCGAAGCGGUCUUUGGUGAUUCGUUCGGCAACGUCACUUCCCGUUCAGUAACCGAACGAUUCAUUUGGGCGGGGAGGGAGAUGAGGGGGGCGAACGAUUCGUUGAACGAUUCGUUUGAACGAAUCUUUUUACUGAACGAGCCGGAAUGGAUUCGUUUACUCAAGUGAACGACAGAUCCCGUCACUAAUGUCCAUACUGUUCAGUUAUGGAUGUGUUCUAAGUCAAAUAUAAUCAAACCAACUUUUAUUUAUUUAGACCAAAUCACAAAAACAAUUAUCUCAAGGAGAAAACAAAACAUGUUUUACAGUGCAGUAGCCCUACGCUGGAUUUCGACCUACUUGAGUAUUGUAGCUUUUUUAUUUAUUUAUUUAUGUUUGCCCCUCCCCCCUCCCCCGGGUAAGACUAAUGCCCACCCACACCUGGCAUCCUGGUAACACCACUGUAAAUACAAACCAUAUUACACUGGUCAAGAAAUCAUUGCAAUGGCGUCCAGUGAGUCAAAGAAUAGACUAAGGGUUUGGGUCAAGACUAGGAUUAGGUACUUGAGUAAAGUGUUAGAUGAUGUUGAUGCCUUACCAAAUCGGUCGUGCGUGGCCAACUGUGGUCUGCAUUCGGGGCUUGAUGUAUUCGUAGUAUCCCUGAUUCUUGUGCUCUUCCUGACACCAGACCACGGUCGCCUGGGCGUAGCGUUCCAUUUCAGUUCGUACCAGAUCAAACGGGAAGGGUGACAGCUGCGGGGACCAGUCAUAUGUUUAGAACGCAACCACGACAAGGGACGGAUAAGCCUCAAAACAAGUUUAAGUCUUUUUAGGGCACUCAUUCAAUCCAUUGACUGCCAUUGAUGGCGCUAGAUUUCCAAUCCAUUUUGAUUGUGGAGGGUGAAUGAAUGGAUUGGAUGUGUUGCACUAUCAGUGGUGCUGAAACAUGACAAUCCUUUCAGUUUAAAUUAAUUGACUGACUGUCAACGGCAGGC